AGGACUUGUCCUUUGACUCACACAUAAAACGAGUCUCUAGGACAGCCUUCUUUCACCUUCGCAAUAUCAAGAAAUUAGAAACAUCCUCUCCAAAAGGAUGCUCAAAAACUAGUCCAUUCUUUUGUUACUUCUAGACUGGACUACUGUAAUUCAUUGCUGCUAGGAUGCCCCAAUAAGUCUGUGAAAAGCCUCCAGCUAAUCCAAAAUGCCGCAGCACGAGUUCUGACAGGAACUAGAAAAAAGAGAUCAUAUUUCUCCAGUGUUAGAAUCUCUGCAUUGGCUUCCUGUAAAAUUCAGAAUAGAAUUCAAAAUACUGCUCCUAACCUACAAAGCCCUUAAUAAUCAAGCUCCAUCAUAUCUUACAGAGCUCCUAGUUUCAUAUUAUCCCCAAUAGAUCACUUCUCUGUAAAUGCAGGAUUAUUGUGGUUCCCAGAGUCUGUAAAAGUAGAAUGGGAGGCAGAGCCUUCAGCCACCAGGCUCCUCUCCUCUGGAACCAGCUCCCAGUUUGUGUCAGGGAUGCAGAUACCCUGUCUACAUUUAAAGUUAAACUUAAAACCUUCCUUUUUGAUGCUUAUAGUUAGAACUGCUCAGGUGUUUAAUAAACCAUUUCUUUAUUAUGCUGUUAUAGGCCUAGACUGCUGGGGGAACUUAUAUCAUGAGCAUCUUUUUUCUCCCGUUCUCUUCUCUUCCUCUUUCCUCUCUUUAUAUCUCUCCUUCUCACUUUUUAAUCUCUCUCUCUCUGCCCCCAUGUAUCUACAUUACAUGUCACUAACUCCCCUGUUUUCUCUCCCCUAGUAGAUCUGACCCCAGAGCUGCAGGAUCCAAACCCGUAAUUAUUAUUAUUACUAUCAUUAUUAUUAUUAUAACAUCAUUGUAUUUAUAAGUAUCAGUUUUCACUAAUUAUAAGUAUCAGUCUGGUAGAAAUUAAAGCAACUGUUAUACUACCCCCCCCAUCCCCCGAUAUGUUUACAGUACAUGUCACUAACCCUGUUUGUGUUUUCUAUCUCUCAUGUAUCUCUGACCCCAGAGCUGCAGGACCCAAACCUGUCAUUAUUAUUAUUGCUAUUAUUAAUAUUAAUGUUAAUAUCAUCACUAAUAAUGACAACAACAUAAUUGUAUUUUUUAAUUAUAAGUAUCAGUCUGGUAGAGAUUACAGCGGCGGUUGUACAACUGUCCUCUCUCUCUCUUCUCUCCUACUGUCUCUCCUCCCACCCUCUUUCUGCCCACCUCUCCUCUCUUCCUCCUCCCUCUCCUCAACCCAACCGGUCGAGACAGAUGACCGCCCACAACUGAGUCUGGUUCUGUCAGAGAUUUCUUCCUGUUAAAAGGGAGUUUUUUCUCUCCACCGUCGCCAAGUGCUUUGCUCAUUGUGGGAUUUGUUGGGUUUUCCCUGUAAUAUUGUAAUAUUGACCUCACUAUGUAAAGUGCCUUGAGACAAUGUAUGUUGUGAUAUGGCGCUAUACAAAUAAAAUUGAAUUGAAUUGAAUUGAAUUGAAUACAAGGUAAGCCCAAGUUUCAUGUUGACCAGUCUAUAAAUAUUAACUUUGGACAAAACAUUUCCUUCCCUUCUGACUUUUAAAAAAAGCAAUGCCAAUUCUCUAUCUUGAUAGAUAGUUAGAUAGACUUUAUUCAUCAACAAGAGGAAAUUAAGGUGUUACAGCAUUAAGAAAGAAACAAAAGACAGCAAAGUUGAAAAUAAAAUAUGGUAAAUAAUGGUCACAAUUCUCUCAAAAUAUUAUUCUCCUCUCACGGCACAAAGGUGAGUCAUUACAAACUGUUAUACCAGUGGGUAUGAAUGACUUCCUGUGGCGGUCCUUAUUACAUUGAAGCUGAAGUAGCCUCCAAC
rnacentral:lncRNA from 1 species